GGGAAGGCUUACAGAGCAAAUUUUCAUGACCGUGAUGGGAGGACUGUUCUUAUCUUGAGACCGGGAAUGCAGAACACGACAGCACUAGACAACCAGAUGAGGCAUUUAGUGUAUCUGAUAGAAAAUGCAAUUCUUAAUCUUCCACAAGACCAAGAGCAAAUGUCAUGGUUGAUAGACUUCACAGGAUGGUCUUUAACUAACAAUGUUCCUAUCAAAUCUGCUCGUGAGACGGUCAAUAUUUUGC
rnacentral:misc_RNA from 1 species